GCGAGAAUGUAGAGAUGAUUAGAUGAGUCAUUUAUGUAGGCCCAUAGCAUAUCUCCUAGUGAUUUGUCAUUGAGUACCAUUGGCAAAGACCAAGGAGAACAUCUUCAAACAAUCAUCAACAACAACUUGUAUUUAUAUUGUGCCCUUCACGUAGGAUAACGUCUCGGGGUGCUGCACGGUUGUGGAGUUGGAUCCCAAGCAACAGAAAAGGGAGCGGGAUCAGAUUGAAGUUCGAGAGGAAUCCAUAGAAAAGUUACCUGGAAACCUCUCCAGAAUGUGAAACAGGUCCCUGAGCAGCUGAGAAGGACUAAAGGCACAACUGCGACCUUUUAUUGCUCUUUCCCAAUUGUCAAAGAUAAAUCCUAAAUCGAUGUCCAUUGGUGGAGGGAGGGAGGGAGGGAGAAGAGGAAUUAUUGAACAGAAAGGAUACCAGGAAUCGAUUUGAAGUUGUGAAUCAAGGCAGCGCUGACUUUCACCUCCUAAAUUUGAGUCUUUCGGACUCGGGACGCUAUUACUGCAGAGUCAGAUACGAGCUUCAAAGCGGUAACGGAAAUGGCACAUGGCUGGAUGUAAACAGUGAGUGUCUCCAAUGUUGGGAAUCCACAGAGUAAAUAAAUAAUCCUUGAUACAGCGUU